AGCUCCAAUAGCGUAUAUUAAAGUUGUUGCAGUUAAAAAGCUCGUAGUUGGAUUUGUGGCUGUCUCGAGCGGCCCGGCACUUAGUGCCGGUGCUUGCUUGCGUCGCCAUCCUUGGGUGGAACCUGUGUGGCAUUAGGUUGUCGUGCAGGGGAUGCCCAUCGUUUACUGUGAAAAAAUUAGAGUGUUCAAAGCAGGCUUAUGCCGUUGAAUAUGUUAGCAUGGAAUAAUAAGAUAGGACCUUGGUACUAUUUUGUUGGUUUGCGCACCAAGGUAAUGAUUAAAAGGGACAGUUGUGGGUAUUCGUAUUCCAUUGUCAGAGGUGAAAUUCUUGGAUUUUUGGAAGACGAACUACUGCGAAAGCAUUUACCAAGGAUGUUUUCAUUAAUCAAGAACGAAAGUA
rnacentral:rRNA from 1 species